CUGUACAUCAUCUCAGUUUAUUCAGUAAUGUGUUGCACUCUGAACAACAAUGCAUAGCAAGAACGUUAUUUAUUUCACAUCAUGUAGAUUUAAUAUUACAUAUCUUCCUGCAAUGCUCUAACCAUGGCACCGUGUAGAAUAUCCUGUAGAAUAUCAUUGUGAAAUAGCAACCAUAACGCGAUAACGGACAAGAUAACAAGGCUUGAAAUAAAACACACUAAUCCAUUAAAAAUAUAUAGUAUAACCAGUAAAGACAAAGAAGAUGAAUGAUAAUUGAUGCUCUUCUUUAAUAUCUGGAUAUGUCAAUGCUAAUAAUUGAUCAAGUGUGGAUCACAAAACAGCUCACACAGUGGUUCUGUACAUGAGAAAUUUGUGAAGUGUGCUCCUGCCCUCCGGUGGCAAAAGAAAGCAACACACUUGUUGAUAAUGGCGUAUCAUUUACUUAUAGAAAUGAUACAUGUCUGGAAGAAAAUAUAUAGAAUAAUUCUUGAUUUGUACAGAAUGAAACGUAACAUUUUAAGUCAUCUUAUUUCAGAGUUCUCUGUCCUUGACAAACAAAAAGAGAUACUGAGGAGAGAUUACGUAUUAUUUAAUCUCGGUUUUGGCACAUUUCAACACUAAUGAGUCAACAGGAAACUCCAAGUACAAACAUGUAGAUCCCAUAAAUACUGUACUACCAAGGUCAAAUAAAUACAUCUUCGCAUACAAGUCAAAUAUCUUAAUAACAGAUACAAAAACAAACAUUCAGUGAAAAUAAAAUGACCUGUACACUAAUCAAACUCUUGGAUGAAGUCUUGGAUAAAUGUUGUUUUUAUAAUGUGCUGACUCCCAGUGAAAAACAGGGGCCUGGGCUUCUUUGGAAUUUGUCGGUCCAUAAGUGGGGUCCAUUUGGAGGUCAUGUGACUAUGUGGUUGCCGGCUCUACCUCACUGCAGUUGCCUCACCCUAAACAGGAACUUCCAUUUCACAGAUUUACUAUGAAGCCAUUAUGGCCCCUGUAGGACAAGAGACACAAAUAUCACCAGUUUAGAUUAGGUCCUUCCUCCACCAGGUCACACAGAGUGUGAGCAUGUCAAUAGAGGUAUUCUACAGGGCCAUAUACCACAUUUUGCACAUACACAUGAAGAUAACAGACAAACACCAAGGUGUCUCAGAAGAAUACCAGUCUGCCAGGAUUGUUUAGAAAGGCAUUUGUCGCCAUUUAAUGUAACAAACAACAUCUUUCCAGAUAGAAAAAAAUCCCACUGUAGAAUAUACACACUUACAUCAAGAUAUGCCCUUCCCUUCUUUCCUGUGUAAAGCAGUGGAGGCUGGUGGGAUGAGCUGUAUGAGGACAGGCUGAAUGUCUGCAAUGGAAUGGUAUCCAACACAUGGAAACCCUGUUUGACUCCGUUCCAUUUAUUCCAAUCCAGCCAUUCCAAUGAGCCCGUCCUCCUAUGGCUCCUCCCACCAGCCUCCGCUGGUGUAAAGAGUUCACCUGUGGAACAUGUGAGGUUCACAGAGAGAUCAUGAAAGUUAAGAAUGGCAACUUUAUGUAUGGAAGCAAGCACAUCGUAGUAUGAUAGGGGUAACCAAUGGUUCAAUUUUGGGUCCAAUCCAGUUGCUACAAUGGCAAAAUUUGCAUGUCAUCACCGUGUUAGUGCAGGUCAAAAAUCACCACUCACCACAUUGGUUAGCGGUAAGGCAGUGGAGGGUGAGGAGCCUGAGAGGGAGGAAAACAAGUCUGGUGCUGGCCUUCGGGGACAGGAGGACUGGGACUUACGGACGGCUAGAGCCACAGCCUGGGCAAAGCAGGAGGGGAUGGCAGUUCUCCUGGCCAGGGCUGCAGGCACGUAUGGUUUGGGUGAAGUCAAAUUAAUCAUGUUCGGUUUGGGUGAUGAAGGGGCAUUAGUCUGAUUGUCUCCCGCAGCUGGUUCACAGAAGGUACGACUCAGCGUAGGAAGAGAAGGGGGAGGAUAAGAGGGAGGGCGGUGAUUUCUUCCCCCAGGAGGCCUCACUCGUAACUGGGUCGGCUCCGUCUCCUCCUUACCAUAGCACACACGGGGAGGGGAAGGGGGAGGAGGGGAAAAGAAACGGUCCUCUGCUGACUCCUCUAUCACCAGACUGGGCUUCCGGAACAAUCCCCUGCUCUCUAGUAGUUCAGGAGUUGAGGUCACCUCAUCUCCACGUAUUCCAUCUCCAGGUAUUCCAUUUCAUCUCCAGGUCAGCCGUGUAUGGGUUGGGAAUCUCUGAGAGUGUAUCCGACUCCUCCGGGACUUGUACCUCUAGACUUUUCUGUAGUUCUGAAUCUAGACUGUCUGUGGGUGAUUCGGACUCCUCCUGGGCCUCCAUCUCUGAACUCUCCUGCUUGACUACCACUGGUGAUUUUGGUGCGGUCUGGUAAAGCUCACUAGGACUAGACACGGUUGGAGCACUGAAGACCCAGUCAGUGGAACCUUCUGGAGACCCUGAAGGAGAAAGUUUAGAAUCCAUAUCAGGGUCUGGGGUGGAUCCCUCAACCUCUGACCUCAACCUCUGACCUAUAGAGCCCCACGAUGGUGGUGUAAUAAUACCCAUAAAACCUAGCGGACAAACAAGGAAAUGGUUCCAAUCGUUUUCCACCAUUCAUUUUUCUAAUAGGGGAUUUUAGAAACACUUAAAAUAAGGGCUGUGUUUCGUAAAGGCUUAACAAAGCAGACAAGCAAAGAAAACCAUGAAAGAGUAUCGAGACACAGCCCUAAAUCCUACUCCCUAACCACCAAUCACUCACCGGCUGGACGUUGAGGUUGGCAGGGACGCUUUGGGAGCCUGCCAUGUGGAGCGUGGGUGCCCGUUUUCUUCUUGGCCAUGGUGUCGUCCAUGGGCAGGGUGUUGGAGGAGUGGACACCCAGGGAGUUCAUGCUGAUGCUGGCCACCCGCUGGUUUUUCAGACCACGUGAGGCCGGGGCACUCACUGAGAGACCCUUUAGAAGAAGACCACAGCAAAAAACACACAUCACAAAGCUUUAUCAGUGUACACUGAAAUCCCACCACACACUGAAAUCUAGUACGGCUGAGAGAAAAAAGCUGCAUUCACAGAUCUAGUCAAAGUCUAAAAUCUAUUUCUUACACAAUGCUUACGUACAAUGGGGGGGGUGCUCUACAGGUGCUUCUAGGAGAAAGAAAUAGCAACGACAGAUAAUUGAAAGCUGGUAUUCAAAUGAAAUGUGUUACUAUGGGGCAUCUUCAGCCAUUUUUGUUAAGUUUUGUUCCUUAGGGGGGAAAGUGUGAUAACCACUUCAGGACUGACAG
rnacentral:lncRNA from 1 species